rnacentral:misc_RNA from 1 species
AACCUCUAGUUUGAAACAUCUGGAUUGUUCAGAAGCAAGUUGACCACGUACAGAUUGGAGCUCCUUAUAAAGAUCUGUAUUGCGAGCCUCAGCAUCAGUCAAGUCUUGCUUCAGCUGAAGCGUUUGCAACUUCUCUUUGCUGAGAGAUGACUCUAAGUCUUCCUUCUCAGCUUUGAGGGCAGCUAAAAGUCGUUCACUAGUUUCUUCAACUUUGUUCACCAUUGGUUCAGAUUCAAUGUUGUCCACCACAAUUUCCCUGAUUUUUCCUUCUUGGACUGUUGCAAUAUCUGACUCCAAAUCCCUCGUGGCAUUAGUAGCAUUUUGCAUUGCUGAAACACUAUCAGGUACAGGAGUCUCCAUAGAUUGCAAAGUUGAUCUGUGGCUCGGUUUCAGUACAUUGACCUCAUUACUAUACCGCCCAUUGUAUCCUCCAAAAGAAACUAGGAUAUCUUCACCAUUGUAUGAACACAACACCAAACUCAAGCCCUCACUAGCAAGAGGAACACGCCCUUGAACAGUUGUUACGGUGGACCAACCCAGUGUAGACAUGUUGAGGACAACA